GACGAACGCUGGCGGCGUGCUUAACACAUGCAAGUCGAACGGAAAGGCCCUGCUUUUGUGGGGUGCUCGAGUGGCGAACGGGUGAGUAACACGUGAGUAACCUUCCCUUGACUUUGGGAUAACUUCAGGAAACUGGGGCUAAUACCGGAUAGGAGCUCCUGCUGCAUGGUGGGGGUUGGAAAGUUUCGGCGGUUGGGGAUGGACUCGCGGCUUAUCAGCUUGUUGGUGGGGUAGUGGCUUACCAAGGCUUUGACGGGUAGCCGGCCUGAGAGGGUGACGGGCCACAUUGGGACUGAGAUACGGCCCAGACUCCUACGGGAGGCAGCAGUGGGGAAUAUUGCACAAUGGGCGGAAGCCUGAUGCAGCAACGCCGCGUGCGGGAUGACGGCCUUCGGGUUGUAAACCGCUUUCGCCUGUGACGAAGCGUGAGUGACGGUAAUGGGUAAAGAAGCACCGGCUAACUACGUG
rnacentral:rRNA from 1 species